GCGGCGGAAAGUAAGAGGCUAGUCGGGGGACGGCUGCCAGGAUCUGGAUCUCCUGGUCUCAGCUUGGACCCGGGAUCGGAAAGAGACAGUGGCCGGUCACCCUGCACUCAUCCCGUCGCUGUCGCGGAGCCCUCUCGGCUGGCCCAGGAAGGAUGGGACUACUAUGGUGUUUGAUGAGUCUGUCCUUCUAUGGGAUCCUGCAGAGUCAUGCCUCAGAACGCUGUGAUGACUGGGGACUAGAUACCAUGAGACAAAUCCAAGUGUUUGAAGAUGAGCCAGCCCGCAUCAAAUGCCCCCUCUUUGAACACUUCUUGAAGUACAACUACAGCACUGCCCAUUCCUCUGGACUUACCCUGAUCUGGUACUGGACCAGGCAAGAUCGGGACCUGGAGGAGCCCAUUAACUUCCGCCUCCCAGAGAAUCGCAUCAGUAAGGAGAAAGAUGUGCUCUGGUUCCGGCCCACCCUACUCAAUGACACAGGCAAUUACACCUGCAUGUUGAGGAACACUACAUAUUGCUGCAAGGUUGCCUUUCCACUGGAAGUCGUUCAGAAGGACAGCUGCUUCAAUUCCCCCAUGAGACUCCCCGUGCAUAAAAUGUACAUCGAGCAUAAUAUUCAUAAUAUCACAUGUCCAAAUGUAGAUGGCUACUUUCCUCCCAGUGUCAAACCAGCCGUCACUUGGUAUAAGGGUUGUACUGAAAUCGUGGAUUUUCAUAAUGUACUACCUGAGGGUAUAAACUUGACCUUUUUCAUCCCCUUGGUUUCAAAUAACGGCAAUUAUACAUGUGUGGUCACAUAUCCGGAAAACGGACGCCUCUUUCACCUCACCAGGACUAUGAGUGUGAAGGUGGUAGGCUCGCCAAGAGAUGCAUCACCACCCCAGAUCUAUUCUCCGAAUGACCAUGUUGUCUAUGAGAAAGAACCAGGAGAGGAGCUUCUUAUCCCCUGUAAAGUCUAUUUCACUUUCAUCAUGGACUCCCACAAUGAGAUCUGGUGGACCAUCGAUGGAAAGAAGCCUGAUGAUGUCACCACUGACAUCACCAUUAAUGAAAGUAUAAGUUAUUCCCCAACAGAGGAUGAAACAAAGACUCAGACUUUGAGCAUCAAGAAAGUCACCCCUGAGGAUCUCAGGCGCAACUAUGUCUGUCAUGCUCGAAAUACCAUAGGGGAAGCUGAGCACGCAGCCAAGGUGAAGCAGAAAGUAAUACCGCCGAGGUACACAGUGGAACUUGCCUGUGGUUUUGGAGCCACGGUAUUUCUGGUGGUGGUUCUCAUCGUGGUCUACCAUGUUUACUGGCUGGAGAUGGUCCUCUUUUACCGGGCUCACUUCGGAACAGACGAAACAAUUCUUGAUGGAAAAGAAUAUGAUAUUUAUGUUUCCUAUGCAAGAAAUGCUGAAGAAGAGGAGUUUGUGUUGCUGACGCUCCGUGGCGUUUUGGAGAAUGAAUUUGGAUACAAGCUGUGCAUUUUCGACAGAGACAGCCUGCCUGGGGGAAAUACGGUGGAAGCCGUGUUUGAUUUCAUUCAGCGGAGCCGAAGGAUGAUUGUUGUCCUGAGCCCCGACUAUGUGACAGAAAAAAGCAUCAGCAUGCUGGAGUUUAAGCUGGGCGUCAUGUGCCAGAACUCCAUUGCCACCAAGCUCAUUGUGGUGGAGUACCGUCCCCUCGAGCAUCCCCAUCCAGGCAUCCUGCAGCUGAAGGAGUCUGUAUCUUUUGUGAGCUGGAAGGGAGAGAAGUCCAAACAUUCUGGCUCCAAGUUCUGGAAGGCCUUGCGCUUGGCUCUUCCCCUGAGAAGUCUGAGCGCCAGCUCAGGCUGGAAUGAGAGCUGCUCUUCUCAGUCUGACACCAGUCUGGAUCACGUUCAGAGAAGAAGUCGAUUGAAAGAACCCCCAGAACUCCGGAGCUUAGAGCGGGUGCCUGGAGUAGCUCCAGCCCAGGGCAUCAUGUCCAAGCACCGAGGGAAGCCCUCCGCAGCCUGUCGCUGCUGUGUCACCUACUGUGAAGGAGAAAGCAAGAGCCGGGCAGAGAUGCAUACCCAACCCCAGUGGGAAACACACCUCUGUAAGCCUGCUCUCCAAGAGUCGGAAAAUCAGUGGAUACAAAAUGACACCAGACCCGAGCGAGCUCCCCAGAUCUCAGCUCUUGCACGGCACCAGUUUACAGAUUUAUCCAAUAACAAUGACUUUUAUAUCCUGUAAUCACUUUAUAUGGAGGGUGGCGGCUGCUAUUUCUACCAACUCUCCCUGGGUCGCAAACAUUUGGGAAUAAUUGACAUUUUUAUCAUCUAAUAGACUAUCAGAUUUGUGUCCCCUUUAUUGAUUUCUAAAAACUAUUUGUUUCUAGGAGACAAAAGACCGGAUGCACCUGAAUGCAGUUAUUGCCUCUAACGGCCUCGGAAGAGCACACUCUUCUCGGGCCCUAGAAGGCUCUGAUUUUCUCCAGUCAAGGAGGACUACAAAUCAUCCUUUUAACAAACGUUUGCAGGCAAUAGCUGAAAAUAAAGGGCCUGUUUAGACCUUGGAAUUGUCUCAGCACAAGCAAACAAUCGAAUACAGUGGUUGGUAGAGUGUAUUUAUAACCCAUGAACUAUCUAACACUGCUUUUCAGAACUUGGUGAGAGUGUUCCAGCCAUCAUCUCGACUAGAGUAAGAUAAGCUAUGCUGGUCUAAGAUUUCAAUAACUUCCCAUCCCAUAUGUUACUUUUGUUGAUGCUAAACAUCCAGCAUAGGGGCUUGGAGUUUGUUUUUUUGUGUGUGUUUGCCAUGUGAAAUGUGUAGCUUGCAGUUGUCCUAUAAUUGAACUUAAAAUGAUGCCUCUUAUUUUCUUUCCCUCAUGCUUUAUUAACUAGAACUAUCUCCAAGGUCUUGAUCCAGUCAUAUAGAAAUCUACAAAAUAUGUUCUACAGUCACUAGGAAGGGAUAAUUACAUUGACCUUUAUGAACACGUAGCAUUGUCUUCUACAAAUGAGAUAAGGUUGAGAUAUUUAGAUAGGGUGAUGAAGCAAAGAGGGACCUUCAGUCUUCUUUCUGCUACUUCAUAUAAUAAAACAACAAAAGACUCUGAUGCUCACGUCCAACCUGAGUAUGCCAAGUUAUCAAGAUGAAAGUCCACACAGAAAAGAAUGAAACUUGCACAUAAGUGCUCCCUAAUUGAACGUUGUUGACAGACAUCACUACAAUAAUUGCAGUUUUUCUUAUAAGAGGAAGCAUGUUCUAUAAUUUGAAUGCUAUCAUGUUGGGUUACUUUCCAUUUCCUGGCUUUAGUUAGUACUCUUAAGAAUGUGAAGCUCAAACUGUCUGCAAAUGAGCCGUUUCAUUUUGGAAAUUCAGGGAGCCUCAGAAGAAUUGAAGGCAUUUAGAACACAGUAGAGCAUGUAACAUGGUCAUUAGAAAGCAUCAUCGAUCCAUUUAUCUAAAGAGUUAAACAGGGAAUUCAAACUGAGGGUGCUGAAGCUCAGAUGAGUUCAGUGGAGAUCAGUACCAAUGGGUAUCAUGGAGUCUGCGACUCCUUUCCUUGCAUUUUCUCUCUUUUUGAUUGGGCUCUGUUGACAUUGAGUAUCUGAAUUUUCACAUGGUGUUUUCUAAUGUAUACAGUAUUAUUUGGUAAUAACUAAAAGCUCUCUAUAAUUUGGCAAAAAAUAAUAUUUUAAGUCUUGGUUCAUGAGAACAAGCUUCAGUGUUGAACAAAGAAGAAUUUUGCUUCUCGGUGUCAUAGGGAAAUUAUUCACUAGCUAAAAUCCUUCUAAGAAUAGUUCGCAUAGUUUUGCCUUGAGUACAUCAAACAUUUAAAAAUACUCAAGUGUAAAGAAUGACUUUCUGGGUAUAAAGAUGAGUAUAUGAACAACAUCUGCUGGCAGAUCCUGAGCUCUACUUUUUCCCUGGAUGACUGUUAUUUCAAUACUUUAAAACAAUUUCAAACCAUGCGUACUGGACCAUUCCUCCAGUCUCAAUACCCAGGAGACGAAAGCAAAAGGAUUAUGAGUUGGAGACCAGUCUGUGCUACAGGAUUAAUUCCAGGUCUACCUGGGUUAUAUAGUGAGACCACAACCUCCAAAAUAAAAUAAUAAAAUAACUCCUGAUUUCCAUGUAUUUAACACACUGAUUUGUUUUCAACGGUGACAGCUAAGUCACAGGAUGACUGUGUUUUAGCUGCCAGGGCAAGUGAUGCUGAGCCAGAAGUGAACUUAGUCCUGGAGGCCAAUUGCACAUACUGGCAAUGUGCCCCAGAGAGUCAAGUCUCCCCCAAAAGCUUGAGAAACCUGGUAUUUCCAAGGAUGAUGGCUUGAUCUUUAUAAUUUUGAAUAAGAGUCAAUGAAAAUUCAGUAAUAAUAUCUUGUAUAUAUGGAAUGAAAGGGUAAAAAAAACCUAGUAUUACAGAUAGUAUUCUUCCUCCUUAAAGGGUAAAACAUGAAACUCAUUUUCAAAAGCUGAAAGUGAAUUAUUUGUCAAUGGGUAAAAAAAUCUUUUAGCCUUUUUAGGUCUUUGAUUUUAUAUUGUUUGCAUUCUGGAUUAUGAAAUAAUGAGAGGAUAAAAACUAAGAACAUAAAAUUGUGAAAGUAAAUAGAGUUUCUAACCUGGAUAACCAAAGAAGACAGUAGUCCUAGUGUUUAUUAUUUUUAUAUUAUCAGUCCCCUGAAGCAGAAAAGACUGUAUAAAAUCCAGUCACUUGGUUAGUGGCAAAUUUCACUAAAUGAUGUCUAAGAAGAAACUGAAGAAAACAGCAAGGACAAUCAAGCCUCGUUUCCCUACUUUGAAGCACCAGGAUAAAAGAAAAAAAUUGUAAAAUCUCUUUGGUAUCAACUAGAGUAAGGUGUUGGGUGGGUCUCAGGGCUUAGAGAACAAAGUUAGACAGUUAUUUCCAUUUCAAGCUUGAUAUUAUAUAAAAUAUUAACUUUGGAGUCAGUACAUAUGAUUUGGGAUACCAAUUAUUAUAGUGAAUGUGCAUUUCAAUAGCACAUGUUUGCUCUCAAAUUCUGUUUCUUCAUGUUAAGUGGAAAUAAUAUCUACCUCAUUGAAUUGUUGUAAGGGUAAAAUUAUUCAAUAAAUGUGAACUUCUGA